GCCUGUUAGGUCCGGGUCCCAGUCGAUCUGCUCCGGCCCGCGGGGGCAGCGAUGUCGCGGCUGCUGGUGCGUGGGGGCCGCGUGGUGCACCCCGAGGGCUCGCAGGAUGCCGACGUGCUGGUGCAGGACGGCCUGGUGCGUGCGCUCGGCCCGGGGCUGCGGGCGCCCGCGGGGACCCGCGUGCUGGACGCGACGGGGAAGCUGGUGCUGCCCGGAGGCAUCGACCCGCACACGCACCUGCAGCUGCCCUUCAUGGGCACCCGCUCCGCGGACGACUUCCUGCGGGGCACGCAGGCUGCUCUGGCGGGGGGCACGACCACGAUCAUCGACUUCGCCAUCCCUCCGAAGGGCGGCUCCCUCCUGGAUGCCUUCGACACCUGGCGGCGCUGGGCUGACUCCAAAGUCUGCUGUGACUACAGCCUGCACGUGGCCGUGACGUGGUGGAGCGAGCAGGUCAAAGAAGAAAUGGCCAUCCUCGCCCGGGAGAAAGGUGUUAACUCCUUCAAGAUGUUUAUGGCCUAUAAGGACCUGUUCAUGCUGCGGGACUCAGAGCUGUAUGCUGCCUUCCAGCAGUGCAAGGGGAUCGGCGCUAUCGCUCAGGUCCAUGCAGAGAACGGCGACAUCAUCGCAGAGGAGGCCAAGAAGAUGCUGGCUCUGGGGAUCACCGGCCCCGAGGGCCACGAGCUGUGCCGGCCCGAGGCCGUGGAGGCAGAGGCCACGCUGCGCGCCAUCACCCUGGCCAGCGCGGUGAGCUGUCCCCUGUACGUGGUGCACGUCAUGAGCAAGUCUGCAGCCAAGGUCAUAGCGGACGCCAGGAGAGACGGGAAGGUGGUCUACGGAGAGCCCAUAGCGGCCAGCCUGGGCACUGACGGCACUCACUACUGGAGUAAAGAAUGGCACCACGCAGCCCACCACGUCAUGAGCCCACCCCUGCGGCCAGACCCUUCCACACCGGGCUUCCUUAUGAACCUCCUGGCUAACGGUGAUCUGACCACAACAGCGACUGACCACUGCACCUUCAACACCUGCCAGAAAGCUCUUGGGAAGGAUGACUUUACCAAGAUCCCCAACGGGGUGAAUGGCGUGGAGGACCGGAUGUCCGUCAUAUGGGAAAGAGGCGUGCAUAGUGGCAAAAUGGACGAAAACCGAUUUGUGGCCGUUACCAGCACAAACGCAGCCAAAAUCUUUAAUCUUUACCCGAGGAAAGGAAUAAUCGCUGUGGGGUCUGAUGCUGACAUUGUGAUUUGGGACCCGAAUGCCACAAGGACCAUCUCAGCUAAGACUCACCAUCAGGCUGUGAACUUCAACAUCUUUGAGGGCAUGGUGUGCCAUGGGGUGCCGCUGGUGACAAUUUCAAGGGGCAAAGUGGUGUACGAAGCUGGAGCACUCAGCGUCACACCAGGACAUGGGAAGUUUAUUCCACGCAAACCAUUUGCUGAAUACAUUUACAAGCGGAUCCAGCAGCGAGACCAGACUUGCACACCUACCCCCGUGAAGCGGGCGCCCUACGAGGGAGAAGUCAUCACCCUGACAUGCAGAGAGGCACCGGAGGACUCCUCAGCGGGGACCCAGGCACAGGCGGCUCCCUGAUCCGGGUCCCGGGACUCAUCCAGCUCAGGAGCAUUUGAGCCAAGUUGGGAGGUGAAAUCCGAGGGGAAGGCGCCUCGCUCCGCUCGGGGAGCAUCGUGGGCUGUUUCGGCGCCUGUUCCCUUCAGGAAACUCGCCUCACCUGGCCUCUCCGAGACGCCCUCUCAGAAGCGAUCACUGUCUUCCUGUGCCUCUGUGGCUGUGGUGAGACUGAAAUGGAAACGAGUGUCACCGCCCUGGGACAUCUGCGUGACAGCUCCUAGACAGGACUCAGAUGCUGUCCUUGCCUGCACUAGUAUAUUUUUCUCUGAAAUUUAAAAAAUCACUUUCUUUCUUGUUUAAAGGUUUUUAAAUGGCUAAUUUGUUUUAAGCCAGCUCUGUGAUUUUGCCUUUGAAGGAUUUAAUAAACCUUGAGACCCUCA